UUGGAGAAGGAGAGAGAGUGAAUCUAUACUACCCAAGCCGGGCAUAGGCCACCCCAAGAGUGGGGAGCUGGGGCCGGCCUGGCAGGUGCAGGCAACUGGGAACCCAGUACUCAGCCACCCAGGGGAGUUUCUCUGAAGCACCCCUGAACAGGCAGGGAGAGGCCAGCGCAAACCAGAUAAAUGUUUGUGGGACACCUCUGGCAGACAUGGCCUCCGGUUGAACACCUGUCACUCUUAACAAUAUUCACUGGAAAUCAACGGUGAAAACUGCUGCAGUCUAAUGAAAAUUGGUAUUUCAAACUUAUUUACAACUCCAUAAAAGAAAAGUUCCACUUCCACAUAUAAGACACCUUACAAGGCAGAGGCACCUGAGUGCAUUGACUGGAUGUUGGCUCAGGUCACGAUCUAAGGUCAUUUCAAUGGAAUGAUUCUUGUAGAGGAUGAACAGGUGCUGAGAACUCAAGGAGAUAUGAAGAAGGAAUGGAUGUGUGGACUGUGGAGGCAAAGUCAGCAAUGAAAGCAAAUGUAGAAAGGAACUUCCCACUAAUCUCAAGGCCGUAGAGGGGAAGGACUCUCUCUCUCUCUCUCUCUCUCUCUCAAUCAAUCUUAAAGAAAAAAAGACACCUUACAAGGCAGGAUGCAGAGACCCAAAUCAGUGCAAAUUACUAGAGGAACGUGAAAUGAAAAGGUAUAUAGUAAUUAAUUGUAGUUAUAACAUUCUUAUAAGAGCAAAUACAGCAUUAAUCAUAAAAAUAAAAACUAGAAACGACCUAAAUAUUCCAAGAACAUUAGAAUAACAUGUGGUAUAUUCAUAUGAUAAAAUACUAUACAGCACUGAAAAUUCAGAAGAACUACUAUACACUGGGUAAUGAAGAGCAAAGGAAGGCACACCCUAUAUAUAUGUUCAUAAAAGAUCAAAAUUAAUAGAUGUUAUUGGAAUUUCUGCUAGUAGUUACCCUUGGAGAAAAAGGAUGGAAGCAGUGAUUUGGAAGAGGUACAAGGAGGCUUCUGGAGUGCUGUCACGCCCUCAAGCAAUCCUGGGGCAGUGCUGACAACAGCUGCACCAAGGGAAGCCCUCAGAAUCCUAAACUGCUGAUGUUGGAGAACCUUCUCUUCUGAUUAGAUAUGUAGUAUCAAGAGAUUGGGGGAAAAAAAAAUGAGAUUGGGGCAAAGUUCCAUUGCGUUGUCCUCCCACCAUCUGGCCUCAGAUGCAGUCAGUCACAGAGUGGGAUAAGUAAAGCUCCAGCUUUCCAGCCAAAGGACCAAAAAGAAGAGCCCCCAAGGAACUGAAAAGUACUGAGAAGACCACAGAGAGGGAAGAACUUAGAAAUAAAAAAUCCAUAAAAUUGUUUAUGAACUGGUAGGUUCACCCCUGGGUAUAUAUGAAUCUGACACGAAACAGUAUACUAUAGACUUUGAAAACUAAGCCAUGCGGUAGGUCACUGCCCUGAUCUCACACUGGCCACUGGGCAGGAUACACAUGGGAUGGACCUGAAAGGCAUUGCAAAGACUGAGAAUGGAACUGGUACUGAAAUCACAAUUCACAGAAGACAAGUCAGAAUUUGCUGCUUUAACCCAGCAGGAUCAACUCCUGCUAAAACAAAAAUAUCAACAUUCUUCAUAGAACUUUAAAUAAGAACCAAAUUUCUUAGAAUAUAAUAAUCAAAAUGACCAGGAUGCAAUCAAUUAUUCUGCACAUGAAGAACUAGAAAAAUCUCAGAAUGUAUGGGGAAAAGAAAUCAGAUGACACAAAUGUUAAAGGUAUCCAACAAUAAUUUCAAGGCAGCUUUUAUAAAAAUUCUCCAAAAAGUAAUAGUGAAAACUCUUGAAAUGAAUGGAAAGAUAGAAAGUCUCAACAAAGAAAUACAAGAUACAAGGGAAGAACCAAGUAGAAAUUUUGAAUGCUGAAAACUCCAAUAACUGAAAUUAAAAAUUCACUGGAUGGGCUCAAUAGCAGAACAGACAUGAUUGAGGAAAGAGUCAAUGAACUUGAAAACAGACCAAGAGACGUUAUAUAAUCUGAACAAACAGAAAAGGUUGGGGAGGGAAAUGAACAGAGCCUCUGAGACUUGUGGGACAACAACAAAAGCUCUACCAUUCACAUCAUCAUAGACUUGGAAAUAGAAGAGAAUGUGUUAUAAAAAUAAGUAUUUGAAGAAAUGGUUGCUGAAAGCUUCCCUAAUUUGACAAAUGCUAGAAUUUAUAGAUUCAAAAAACACAGUUAACUCUAAACAGGAUAAUCCCAAAGAAACCAAAUGUCCAGACAUAGCACAAUCCAACUGCUAAAAACUAAAGACCAAGAAAAAGUCUUGAAAGCAACCAGAGAAAACUGAUGCAUUAUAUACAGGGAAAAAUGAUUCGAAUGACAACCAAUUUCCCAUGAGAAACGCGGAGGACAGAAGUAAGUGGAAUAACUUUUUAAAGCACUGGAUGAACUAGCCAACCCAGAAGUCUAUAUCCAGUGGAAAAUGUCCUUCAGGAAUGAAGGUGAAAGACACUUUCAGAGAAAGGAAAACUAAGAGAAUUAUUGCCACCAGAACUGCUCUAAAAGAAGUGUUAAAGGAUGCUCCUCAGGCAGAAGGAAUACUAGAAAAUGGGGAAAACAACAGAAGUUAAAAACAUCUGGGUAAACACAGUAAGCUAUUCUCCUAUUGAGUUGCUUAAAACAUUUUUAAAGUCAGGGCACCCGGCUGGCUCUGCUAGGUAAGCAUCCGACUCUUGGUUUUGCUCAGGUCAUGAUCUCAGGGUCAUGAAAUCAAGCCAUGCAAUGGGCUCCAUGCUCAACUAGGAGUCUGUGUGAGAUUCGGUCUCUCCCUCUCCUCCCUCUGCCCCUCCCCCCCACCAUCUCUCUCUCUCUCUCUCUCUC